GUCUACAGCCAUGCCACCCUGAACAAGCCCGAUCUCAUCGGAUCUCAGAAGCUAAGCAGAGUCAGCCCUGGUUAGUACUUGGAUGGGAGACCACCUAGGAAGACUAGGUGCGGUAGGCA
rnacentral:rRNA from 1 species